rnacentral:rRNA from 1 species
CCUACGGGAGGCAGCAGUGGGGAAUAUUGCACAAUGGGGGAAACCCUGAUGCAGCGACGCCGCGUGAGUGAAGAAGUAUUUCGGUAUGUAAAGCUCUAUCAGCAGGGAAGAAAAUGACGGUACCUGAUUAAGAAUCCCUGGCUAACUACGUGCCAGCAGCCGGGGUAAUACGUAGGAGGCCAGCGUUAUCCGGAUUAAUUGGGUGUAAAGGGAGCGUAGUCGGCAGCACAAGUCAGUGGUGAAAUGCCGGGGCUUAACCACGGAACUGCUUUGGAAACUGGGCAGCUAGAGUGCGGGAGAGGUAAGUGGAAUGCCUAGUGUAGCGGUGAAAUGCGUAGAUAUUAGGAGGAACACCAGUGGCGAAGGCGGCUUACUGGACUGUAACUGACGUUGAGGCUCGAAAGCGUGGGGAGCAAACAGGAUUAGAUACCCCGGUAGUC